AUGAGCAAGAAUUCCAACCCAGCCCCAGAAAUAGCCCUCAACCCUGAGCUGAAUUCCACUUGGGGGACUGAAGGAAGGAGGGGGCUGAGCCCUGUUGCCACCAGAGAAGAUCAAUCAGGAUCCCUUGGGCAAGGACAGCCACAUACCCCAGCUCGCCAAAGACAAAGGAUGGAUUUCAAAGUGACAGAUAUGGCAAGUCACCAACAGAUCAAUCUACAUGUUUUUUAUAGGUUAAAAAAAAGCUUAAU
rnacentral:lncRNA from 1 species